rnacentral:sRNA from 1 species
GUCCGAGACGCGGCUUACCUCCUCCCGAGCCAGCGUCAAUGUGGCGGCAUCCUCCUCCCGCCGCCACGCGUCAUAAGAAGGCGUCUGCCGGAUUUCCUCCCUCGGCAGGCGCCUUAU